GAGAUAAGAAGCAGUCAAGCUAACCAAUGAGCUUGCCUAUGAAUCAUGUGAAAGGAUAUCCCAAGACACUACAGAGCUGUGUGCUUUGAGAUCUUCCAAAUCACAUAGGCAAGUCAUCCUUGGCUAGCUACCAAACAGACUCUUAUCU
rnacentral:pre_miRNA from 1 species